AGGGAUCCUUCACUGUCUGGACUAAAAACAUCAUAUACAUUGAUCAUAUAAUACGAAUAAUUUUUAAUUAUUUAUUUGAAAGAUUACGUAAGCAAUAAAGGGAAAAUUGGGUCAAAACAGGGACAUACGUGAGUUGGGUACUGAAUAUCUUGUUUUUGGCCACAACUGUACCGACAUAUGAGGGUGACAAAGCAUUCACACGAAUGCAAGUUGAAUAAUAAGCAAAGGUAAUUAGUCUAUGGACCAAGGAUCGAGGAAGACUGAGAAUGAAGGUUACUCAAGAUAAUAUUGUAUCACAUGAAUUGGGUCGGAUAUAAUUUCUUGUUACUCCACCAAUUUCUAUUAUUACCUCUUCCUACAAUGUUUAAGCCAUUCCCUUUAGCAAGAGCUGGAAAUGCAACCAACAGAGAAAAUAUUAUUUUUCCUAUCAAAGGACUUCCUUACAAGGUUCUCGUUUGCCUUGAACGAUCGAGAACAAAUACGUCGGGAUAGCAUCAAUGGAUAUUUUCUACGAUUUCCUCCAAAAAUAUUUCCGUACCUAGCCCAAAGGGGCCGAGCAUCCGAUGUUAUAACACGAUGCCUAAAACUGGGAUCAAAUUGGGAAAAUAAGUGAUAUAAAUAGACGCAAAGGUGUAUUAAUACAUACUGGAGAAAAUGGUGACCUUGAGACAGGCAGACUGACAAAGCUUUUGAUCAAAGAUAGAUUGAGGGCAAGUUAAUUAUAAGCAGUUGGUAAUUUAAAUGGUUAAUUAUAUCCUAAGGGCUUGAUUUAAAUUUAUAAGACUGAUACUAAUAAGAUUUUGUAAUUAGUGGGUUAGAUUCUGUUCUCGCUAUUAAAGUUUUGUUAACUUACGAUUUAGCCUUUAAGUUAGGCAUUACAAUUUUGUUUAAGUUUAUACUAAUUCUGGGUUAGUCUGUAAACUUGGUACAACAUAUUAAACUUACAGGACGGGCAUGUAGAAAGCCACUGACAAAACUCUCUGCGACGGUAAAUACCUUAUGAUUUUAAACAGACUUCAAAGAGAUGUUUAAUCAUGCUUCCAAAUAUCCCUCUUGUAUAUACCCUAUCAUCAAGAGGCAGAACCAUGGCAAGAUUUGCCCUCGUCCAGCUAGCAUUAGCGUCGGACAGCAGACUUGGGGAAGUCUGCUGAACAAGA